UACGAAGGGUGCAAGCGUUACUCGGAAUUACUGGGCGUAAAGCGUGCGUUAGGUGGUUUGUUAAGUCUGUUGUGAAAGCCCCGGGCUCAACCUGGGGAAUGGCAAUGGAGUACUGGCAAGCUAGAGUGCGGUAGAGGCAGGCGGAAUUCCGGGUGGUAGCGGUGGAAUGCGUAGAGAUCCGGAAGAACACCGGUGGCGAAGGCGGCCUGCUGGGCAGUAGCUGACACUGAGGCGCGACAGCGUGGGGACAACAGG
rnacentral:rRNA from 1 species